rnacentral:rRNA from 1 species
UAGAUGCGAGAGUAGAGCAUAUCAAUAAGCGGAGGAAAAGAAACUAACAAGGAUUCCCUUAGUAACGGCGAGUGAAGCGGGAAGAGCUCAAAUUUGAAAUCUUCAAGGUUCUACCUUGACGAAUUGUAGUUUAUAGAAGUGUUUUCUGUUGGAGUUUUGGUAAAAGUUCUUUGGAAUAGGACAUCAUAGAGGGUGAGAAUCCCGUAUUUGACCAUUAUCUUCCAGCUUUGUGAUACACUUUCAAAGAGUCGGAUUGUUUGGGAAUGCAGUCCAAAAUGGGUGGUAAAUUUCAUCUAAAGCUAAAUAUUGGCGAGAGACCGAUAGCGAACAAGUACCGUGAGGGAAAGAUGAAAAGAACUUUGAAAAGAGAGUUAAACAGUACGUGAAAUUGUCAAAAGGGAAGCGUUUGACACCAGUGUUGUUUUUCCGAAAAUCAAUUACGAAUGUUUUGUUUUUAAGAAGUUAUGGCUUCAUCGGCUUGCUUCUUUCUUUACGAAACUUUCUUAAUGCACUUUUCGGUUAACAAGUCAACAUCAAUUUCUUUUGUUGUAAAAGGGUAUGAGGAAGGUGGCUUUCUUUUCGGAGAAAGUGUUUAUAGCCUUGUGCCUCUGCAAUCGGAGAGAUUGAGGUCUGCAGCGUAGAUCCUUCGGGGUUAGAUACAUUUGUGCUAAGUUAUAGCCUUUCAUAGACAACUUGUUGACUAUGAUCAGUCAUGUAGCUUACUCGCUUAUGUCAUUUUACCUACGCUUAGGAUGUUGACGAGACUGUCGAUCUC